rnacentral:lncRNA from 1 species
GGGGAACAGUAAGAUCUAUAUUGUGCAAGUUGCUUACUGCCAAAUUCAGUGUCUAUUGAGAUACAACGAUACCAUCCAAAAGAAUACAAAGACAGUUUUUGAGGACAGGAGGACAGAAACAUGAUGAAGUGUGAAGAUUUUUCCAGUAUCACACACUGGACCAACAGAUCAAAAAAUUUGCAUCCUCAUAUUCUGCAUCUUGGAAACUCCAUCCUGACCUUUCCUGUUUGUCUGGGCCAGAAGCAAUGCCGCACCCGCUGCCUGGCAGGUAAGUGUUUAUACAGACCAUCAGCCCACUCUUUGUCCCUAAUAGCCACAUUUAUAGACCUUCAAAAAAUUAUCUGUCAGUCUUAUGAGAUAAAAACGUGCAGCGAAAUGUUUCAAUCUUCCCAGCAAAACUGUGUAGGAACCUAAAGUUGAAUAGCCCUGAUGCUGCUAGAACAAUUUUAUCUAUUUUUACCUUUGGAAAACUAAUGUAGAAACCAGUUAGAAGGUAUCUAUUAUAGGGUAACAUUAAUUUAGUAUUAGAAUUUCCACUUUCACAGAAUAACAGCAUAUCUCAAACUGAAGAGGAAAAAAUGAAAUAAACAAAUGGUAAGGAAAUGGUUGUUCA